CUACGGGUUGCUCCAGUCGAGAAUCAUUCACAAUGGACGAAAGUCUGAUGAUGCGACGCUGUGUGAACGAUGAAGGCCUUCGGGUUGUAAAGUUCUUUCGCUGGGGAACAAGGAAUACGGACUAAUAAUCUGUAAACUUGAGCGUACCUAGUAAAGAAGCACCGGCUAAUUCCGUGCCAGCAGCUGCGGUAAUACGGAAGGUGCAAGCGUUAAUCGGAAUUAUUGGGCGUAAAGGGCGCGUAGGCGGAAUGGAAAGUUCGGUGUUACAUUCCGGGGCUCAACCCCGGACUGCUCUGAAAACUACCAAUCUAGAGGAUAGGCGGAGAAAACGGAAUUCCAUGUGUAGCGGUGGAAUGCGUAGAUAUAUGGAAGAACACCGGUGGCGAAGGCGGUUUUCUAGCUUAUUCCUGACGCUGAGGCGCGAAAGCAAGGGGAGCAAACAGGAUUAGAUACCCGCGUAGUC
rnacentral:rRNA from 1 species